UUUCUCAGCUGGUUUGUCGCUGAGUGGGGGAAACCGAUUUGAAACGUGAACAGGCAGGCGAUGCACCGUGGCCGUUUGUUUCGAGCUACAACUCGUGCGAACUGUCACCCAGCCACCUGGCUGAGAUCCCGGCUGCUCGGGACGCGCUGGGGGGCGGCUAGCUUGGGCUAAGGUACCUCUAGGAAGCUCCGCACCGGGUACAUGGGCCUGGCUAGCUGGGCUGUUUUCCAUGGUGCAAAGCGGCGCCUCCAAUUCGAGCUCAUAAAAGCGACACACUUUCCUCAGUCACAUGUACCAGAGUUUGGGCCAGCUACUAGCACACAGCGAUGCACCAGAACCAGCUGGGAAGAUUUCAGGGUCACUUGGCUGUUCAGAUGAGAUUAUGAGCUAUAAUGGAGGAGGUCUGCUGUCGGGGGGGAGGAUGCGGUGACAUAGAGCACCUGAGGGACGGGCUCGUCAUCAGUGCCAACAGGAAGCGUGAGUGACACCUGACACAUAGCUGCCCAGAAAAGCAUCUGACUGACCAGAUCUGACACA